AAAGGCCAAUCAAACCGGGAGAUAGCUGGUUCUCCCCGAAAUCUAUUUAGGUAGAGCCUCGUGAAUUCACCUCCGGGGGUAGAGCACUGUUUCGGCAAGGGGGUCAUCCCGACUUACCAACCCGAUGCAAACUGCGAAUACCGGAGAAUGUUAUCACGGGAGACACACGGCGGGUGCUAACGUCCGUCGUGAAGAGGGAAACAACCCAGACCGCCAGCUAAGGUCCCAAAGUCAUGGUUAAGUGGGAAACGAUGUGGGAAGGCCCAGACAGCCAGGAUGUUGGCUUAGAAGCAGCCAUCAUUUAAAGAAAGCGUAAUAGCUCACUGGUCGAGUCGGCCUGCGCGGAAGAUGUAACGGGGCUAAACCAUGCACCGAAGCUGCGGCAGCGACACUAUGUGUUGUUGGGUAGGGGAGCGUUCUGUAAGCCUGUGAAGGUGGCCUGUGAGGGUUGCUGGAGGUAUCAGAAGUGCGAAUGCUGACAUAAGUAACGAUAAAGCGGGUGAAAAGCCCGCUCGCCGGAAGACCAAGGGUUCCUGUCCAACGUUAAUCGGGGCAGGGUGAGUCGACCCCUAAGGCGAGGCCGAAAGGCGUAGUCGAUGGGAAACAGGUUAAUAUUCCUGUACUUGGUGUUACUGCGAAGGGGGGACGGAGAAGGCUAUGUUGGCCGGGCGACGGUUGUCCCGGUUUAAGCGUGUAGGCUGGUUUUCCAGGCAAAUCCGGAAAACCAAGGCUGAGGCGUGAUGACGAGGCACUACGGUGCUGAAGCGACAAAUGCCCUGCUUCCAGGAAAAGCCUCUAAGCAUCAGGUAACAUCAAAUCGUACCCCAAACCGACACAGGUGGUCAGGUAGAGAAUACCAAGGCGCUUGAGAGAACUCGGGUGAAGGAACUAGGCAAAAUGGUGCCGUAACUUCGGGAGAAGGCACGCUGAUAUGUAGGUGAAGCGACUUGCUCGUGGAGCUGAAAUCAGUCGAAGAUACCAGCUGGCUGCAACUGUUUAUUAAAAACACAGCACUGUGCAAACACGAAAGUGGACGUAUACGGUGUGACGCCUGCCCGGUGCCGGAAGGUUAAUUGAUGGGGUUAGCGGCAACGCGAAGCUCUUGAUCGAAGCCCCGGUAAACGGCGGCCGUAACUAUAACGGUCCUAAGGUAGCGAAAUUCCUUGUCGGGUAAGUUCCGACCUGCACGAAUGGCAUAAUGAUGGCCAGGCUGUCUCCACCCGAGACUCAGUGAAAUUGAACUCGCUGUGAAGAUGCAGUGUACCCGCGGCAAGACGGAAAGACCCCGUGAACCUUUACUAUAGCUUGACACUGAACAUUGAGCCUUGAUGUGUAGGAUAGGUGGGAGGCUUUGAAGUGUGGACGCCAGUCUGCAUGGAGCCGACCUUGAAAUACCACCCUUUAACGUU
rnacentral:rRNA from 1 species